rnacentral:hammerhead_ribozyme from 1 species
GCACUGCUGAGGAGUCCCACAAUAGGACGAAACGGCCUUCUAGUUU